rnacentral:rRNA from 1 species
AUUGAACGCUGGCGGCAGGCCUAACACAUGCAAGUCGAACGAGUGGCGGACGGGUGAGAAAUGCUUGGGAAUCUGGCCUAGGGAGGGGGAUACGGACGGGAAACUGUUGCUAAUACCGCCCUCCAUAGACGGAGCCCAAGUGGGAUGAGGUAGUUGGGGGGGUAAUGGCCUACCAACCGACGAUCUCUAGCUGGGCUGAGAGGAGGACCAGCGAGCCCGGGACUGAGACACGGCCCGGACUCCUACGGGAGGCAGCAGUGGGGAAUAUUGCGCAAUGGGGGAAACCCUGACGCAGCCAUGCCGCGUGAAUGAGGAAGGCCUUCGGGUUGUAAAGUUCUUUCGGUAACGUUGAGUUAGUCUCAGGAGAAGCACCGGCUAACUACGUGCCAGCAGCCGCGGUAAUAC